AAAAGCAAGAAAGAGGCUGUCUCCAUCUUGAUGGCGCCCGCUGUCCUUGUGAAGUUGUGGAGAUGGGGAGCGUCCUGGGGCUGUGCUCCAUGGCAAGCUGGAUUCCAUGCUUGUGUGGUAGUGCCCCAUGUUUGCUGUGUCGAUGCUGUCCUAGUGGAAACAACUCCACUGUGACUAGAUUAAUCUAUGCACUUUUCUUGCUUGUUGGAGUGUGUGUAUGCUUGUGGUAAUGGUUGAUACGGGCCAAUGGAAGAACAACUGAAAUAAGAUUCCUGGGUUUUGUGAGAAUGAGAAAGGUGUUGUUCCCUUGCCAUAUUCUGGUUUGGCUACAAAGCUGUAUAUUCGUUUUGUGCCUUUGGGCUUGCUUAUGUUUAUCUUACUUUUCUGUUUUUGCUAAUGAUCAAAGUGAAGAAGCACAGUGACCCGACGAGUGCAGUACACAAUGGAUUCUGGUUCUUUAAAUUUGCUGCAGCAAUUGCAAUUAUUAUUGGGGCAUUCUUCAUUCCAGAAGGAACUUUUACAACUGUGUGGUUUUAUGUAAGGCAUGGCAGGUGCCUUUUGUUUCAUCUCAUUCAACUAGUCUUACUUAUUGAUUUUGCCUCAUUCUUGGAAUGAAUCAUGGGUUGAAAAAAAUGGAAAGAAAGGGAAAAUACCAAAGAUGUUGGUAUGCAGCCUUAUUGUUCCAGCCACAAGCUUCUGAAUUAUCUGCUGUCUUUAGUUUGCCCAAUCAUCUUGUUUCUUUUGUCUACCUAUACUCAUCCAGCCAGUUGUUCAGAAAAUAAGGCGUUCAUCAAGUGUUAACAUGCUCCUCUGAUUGGUGCUUCUGUAAUUGUCUAUACUGCAAAAAUCCAAGAGUCACAAACCAAGAUGUGGUUUGUUAGCAGUCUUCAGUAAAUUACAAGCUACCCGAUGUAUUUGACAUGGUCUGGCUAUGACAAAAAAUGAACCAGAAACAUAAUUGCAACCCAAGUCUACUAAGCAUUAAUUGGCUUUCAAUAAACCGACAAGCCACAAUCCCAAAAGACCAGGUCAGUCUGUCCAGUGGUGGCAAUGCUCAAGGAAUUAUAGGACUUAAUCCUCUUUUUAUUGUGUGUGUUUUAUUCAGGUUGA